rnacentral:rRNA from 1 species
GACGAACGCUGGCGGCGUGCUUAACACAUGCAAGUCGAACGGAAAGGCCCUGCUUUUGUGGGUUGCUCGAGUGGCGAACGGGUGAGUAACACGUGAGUAACCUGCCCUUGACUUUGGGAUAACUUCAGGAAACUGGGGCUCAUACCGGAUAUGAGCUCCUGCUGCAUGUUGUGGGUUGGAAAGUUUCGGCGGUUGGGGAUGGACUCGCGGCUUAUCAGCUUGUUGGUGGGGUAGUGGCUUACCAAGGCUUUGACGGGUAGCCGGCCUGAGAGGGUGACCGGCGACAAGGGGACUGAGAGACGGACCAGAAUCCAACGGGAGGCAGCAGUGGGGAGUAUUGCAGAAUGGGCGGAAGCGAGAUGCAGAAACGCCGCGUGCGGGAUGACGGCCUUCGGGUUGUAAACCGAUGUCGCCUGUGACGAAGAGUGAGUGACGGUAAUGGGUAAAGAAGCACCGGCUAACUACGUG